ensembl:lncRNA
AGCAUAUGGAGUUCCUGGGCCAGGGAUCAGAUCCUAGCUGCAGUUGUGGCCCAGGCUGUGUCAACACUGGAUCCUUUAACCCACUGUGCCGGGCUGGGAAUGAACUCACAUCCUGGUGCUGCAGAGACGCUGCCAAUCCCACUGUGCCACAGUAGGAACUCCCCAAUGUAGACUUUUGAUUAUCAAUAAAGGUGAACAAGGACUUUAAGGUGGGCUAAAGAAUCUAGUGUGAGCAGCAGAACCAUAUGUGGUAAACAAACAUAAGAGCCAUUAAUAAAAUGAAAUUUAAAUUAAUAAAUACUUGAUCUCAGAUUAAACAAUAAUUUUAAUUUUCAUAUUUUAUAUUGCUAUAUGAAGAAAACACAACAAAUCUCAAAAUAUAGUCACUAGUUUUCCCAAUUUGAACUUUAAAAAUUCAAAUUUUAGGAGUUCCUGUCGUGGUGUAGAGGUUAAUGAAUCUGACUAGGAACCAUGAAGUUGCGGGUUCGAUCCCUGCCCUUACUCAGUGGGUUAACCAUCCAGCAUUGCUGUGAGCUGUGGUGUAGGUUGCAGACGCGGUUCAGACCCCGCGUUGCUGUGGCUCUGGCAUAGGCUGGCAGCUACAGCUCCGAUUGGACCCCUAGCCUGGGAACCUCCAUAUGCCGUGGGAGUGGCCCAAGAAAUGGCAAAAAGACAAAAAAAAAAAAGAAAAAAAAAGGAUAGGAUUGUAAGAAAAGGUAAAUAUAGUUAAGCAAUGUGGAAAAUGCAAUGAGAGAUGUUUCAUAAUAUCACAUCACUCAAUAGAACAAAUGAUUCCACAAUGACAUCAUUUUCUAGGAAAUAUUUUUCUUAUCUUUAUGAGGGAGUCAAAGCAGAUUAUCACAGUUUCAUAUAAAAUAAUCAGGAGGCAGUCAGAAAUACACUGUAAAUCAGGUAAUUCUAAAUCUCUUACAUUUUCAGAUCAAGAUGGCAGUAUUUGGUAAAUUAUGAUUUCAAAAUGCAGAACUAAAAGAAUGACUAAAACUUCAAAAAAAAUUAAUAUUUUGCCUUAUUUUUCUAGUUGAAGAAAAGAGUAAAUUCUAACUCUUUGAGUCCUCUUUAUUAACCACUUUGUGCUUAACAGCAAGCAUUCGUUAAGACAAGUGGGCAGGAUUAAGAGUGUUUCCUUUUGUCCAAAGAAAAGAACAACUCUAACCAUUCCAUAAAGAGACUCUAACCAGUGAUGUAAGUUUUAACAUCUUAACACUUCUAGCAAAUGGAUACUCGAGGGACCCAAAAAUGUUUUAGAAACUUCUACAUUUUUUCAAUUUUGGUAUUAUUUAGUAGUAUUUAGCAGCAGUGAGAACAACAUAUAUGAAACCAGUGUUCUAAUGGCAGAGUAGAAAUGGUCUAACCUGAGUAUUUUGAUUUGGUUCAGAGCACUACUCCAUCAUUCUCAGCUCUACUGAUCCUAUAGAGAGCUCUACAAUUUUUAAGACUUCCUUAGGAGAGGAAAAUCCAGGCAGUUUCCUUACUUGUGCAAAGUGAAUAAAAAUAGUUACUACCUCAUAGUGAUAUCACAAGAAUUAAAUGAUGUAAUACAUGAAAAAAAAAAUCCUUAACAUAGUGCUUGGAGCAUAAAAUUCAAGGAAGGUUCUCUCUCUUAUCUACUGGAUCAAUGCUAUCUAGAUCCAUGUGUCCAGAAAGGAACUGAACUUUGUUGUUUCAGGCCAAUUGUAAGGAGAUGAUAGAGCUUAUAAAAAUUAUUUUAAAAAAUUUUUAUUUAGAGUAUUUUAUUAAUAUGUUUGAUAUCUGCAUGCAUGUCUCUUAUCCUCAUCUUUGUAUUUGUCUCUGUAUUCUAUUGACCCACAAAAUGCCAAAAGGAUGAGGACAGUAUCUGUUUAACUUAGUCUGUACAGUCUCAGCAGCCUCAAAUGGUCAUUUGACACAUUUCAAUAAUAAUAAAAACCUCAAAUGGUCAUCUGACACAUUUCAAUAAUGAUAAAACACAAAAGAAAAUAAUCAAAUAUAAAUCAACAAGGACAUAAUAAAGCAGAUAGAAAUACAUAUAGAAAUUCUUAUUUCAGAAUUAUGCUAUAUGUAAUUUAUAAAAUCUAUUUAAGUUUAUAUAUGAGAUUAUACUGGUUUUCUUAUUUAAAGAAAAAGGGGGAAACUGCAAAGAGUAAUAGAAAUAAAAAUGCAAAGUCAGAGAGUUCCUGUCAUGGCUAAGUGGUAAUGAACCCGACUAGUACCCAUGAGGAUGUUGGUUCAAUCCUUGGCCUCUCUCAGUGGGUUAAGGAUCCAGCGUUGCCAUGAGCUGCGGUGUACAGAUGCAACUCAGAUCCUGUGUUACUGUGGCUAUGGCAUAGGCCGGCAGCUGCAGCUCUGAUUUGACCCCUAACCUGGGAACUUCCAUUUGCCCUAAAAAGAAGCAAAAAGUGCAGCCCUAAAAAGACAAAAAUAUAAAAAAUAAAAUGAAAUAAUAAAAAUGCAAAAGUUGUGGUAACAAACAUUUUUGGCUCUUUGGAAUGAAAAAUAUAAAGACCAAUAAGGAAAAGCAAGAAGUAAAGGGGAAUGAAAGAGACAAUGCUACCAUUUUUCUCUUCAUGUUAAAAUAAAUGCCUUUUAUUUAAUUAAUCAUAUCUGGAUUGACUGGAAAUAAUCAGGGAUGACCUUUUUGGGCUAAAAAUCAGUAACACAGCUCAUGGAUAGUUAGCAAGAUACAAUAUAGUUCACAGAAGAAAUACUUAAAGGAAAUUUGGCAUAAGGUAGAGGGUAAUUUUUUAAUGAGGAAAAAGAUAUUUUCCUUGUAAAAUCAUUACAAAGUAGUAUACUUUAUAUAAAGAGAGAAACAACUGUAUGGUAUUUAAGCUUGGCAGCUGUAUCUACAUUUAAGGCCCAAAAGUAAUUCAACACAACAUUGAACACGGAAGCCUAAUUAUGCACCUGAUUGCCUCCAUGAAAAUUUAACCAAUAUGAGAUCAAUGAAGAGACCAGCCUGGUAAGGAAGCAUGACCAGUUACUAUAAGGAAAUGCAAAAUAUGGAGGGGUUCUUGAAAUAUUACUUCAGUUUCCUGCUAAGCAAAAAAUUUAGCUCCCAUGGAACAUGCAAAGACCCUGAAAGCUUAAUUUUUUAUAACAAAUCAAAGUUUAUAACCAAACUUAUUACUGAUGAUAACCAAAAAAUGGGGCUCACAGUCCUAAUUCCCCCUUACAAUCACUUGUGUCCCACAAUGUUUCAGGAAGAAAAUCUAUUUAUUACUUGGAAUUACAUGAAUGAUGCUAGCCAUACACUGUUCCUUUCUUGAUUAAUGGGCUCACUUUAUAAAGUAUAAAAGGGACCUACUUUUCAUCUUAAAGUCAGUAUUAAAAUUAACUCUUUUUCCUUCAAGAAGCUGGGGGCUUCACCAAAAAUAACUUCACUUUUUCUUAACCUGAAACAAGCUAACACCUAUUCU